rnacentral:lncRNA from 1 species
GUGCAAUCUCGGCUCACUGCAACCUCUGUCUCCCAGGUUCAAGCGAUCCUCCUGCCUUCAUCUCCUGAGUAGCUUUGAUUACAGGUUCUGGCUAGCACCUCCAGUACAAUGUUAAAUAGCAGUGGUAGAAGCAGGUCUCUUUGUCUUGUUCCUGAUCUUGGAGGAAGAGCCUUCAGUCUUUCACCCUGGAGCUCACGGCCUAGAGAAGAAGGCACAGAAAUGAGCAAAUUAUGCAAAUUAAUGUAUCAUUUCAAUUAGUGAUAUGUGCAACAGCAAGUAGCAUAAGACAUAUUAAUGUGUAAAAUUUUGUCUCGGAAGGAGGAGAAACUUUCUCAAAGAAUCUGCGUCCUGAGUAAUUGGUAGGAGUAGGAAAUCUAUUAAGGUGAUAGAUACUCUAGCAGGGAUUGCCCUAAUUUCUUUUUGGCAUUGGCCCCACUUAACAACGGAAUAGGAAAACCUCCAGGAAGGAAGGAAGCUAAAGAAACCGGACUGGUUAACCAAGGAACCAGAUCUGUUGCCUAAAAGUGAAUCAUCAAGUUUGUGGCUAUUCCUGUAGGGCAUGGUAAAUGCCCACAACACAUGGCCCUGAAGUUUGUUCUUCUUUCUGACUUUGAUGGAGUUCAAUUUAUUGGUGUUUACUAUUUUGCCUGGACUUUUGGUGUCACAUCCAAGAAAUCUGCCAAGUCCAAUGUCAGGAAGCUUUCUCCCUAUGUAUUCUUCUAAGAGCUUUAUAGUUUUAACUUUUGCAUUUAGGCCUUGGAUCUCAUUAGUUUUUUGAACUAAUUCUUGUGUAUGGUUAGAGAUAAGGGUCCAACUUCAUUUUUUUUUUUUUUUUUUUGAGAUGGAGUCUCGCUCUGUUGCCCAGGUUGGAGUGCAGUGGCGCGAUCUCGGCUCACUGCAAGCUCCGCCUUCCAGGUUCACACCAUUCUCCUGCCUCAGCCUCCCAAGUAGCUGGGACUACAUGUGGCCACCACCAUGCCCAGCUAAUUUUUUGUAUUUUUUUUAGUAAAGACAGGGUUUCGCUGUG